CCCUAAAAAGCUCUGCAGGCAC
rnacentral:tRNA from 1 species